GUUAGAGGUGAAAUUCUUGGAUCGUCGCAAGACGCACUAGAGCGAAAGCAUUUGCCAAGUAUGUCUUAAUUGAUCAAGAACGAAAGUUAGAGGUUCGAAGGCGAUCAGAUACCGCCCUAGUUCUAACCAUAAACGAUGCCAGCCAGCGAUCCGCCGACGUUCCUCCGAUGACUCGGCGGGGAGCUUUCCCCGGGAAACCAAAGCUUUUGGGUUCCGGGGGAAGUAUGGUUGCAAAGCUGAAACUUAAAGGAAUUGACGGAAGGGCACCACCAGGAGUGGAGCCUGCGGCUUAAUUUGACUCAACACGGGAAAGCUCACCAGGCCCGGACAUUGGAAGGAUUGACAGAUCGAUAGCUCUUUCUCGAUUCAGUGGGUAGUGGUGCAUGGCCGUUCUUAGUUGGUGGACUGAUUUGUCUGGUUAAUUCCGAUAACGAACGAGACUCUAACCUAUUAACUAGGCGUUGCCGGUAUAAACAGCUACCGGCGAGAUUUUUUCUUCUUAAGGGGACAGGCGGCUCUUAGCCGCACGAGAUUGAGCAAUAACAGGUCU
rnacentral:rRNA from 1 species